rnacentral:tRNA from 1 species
AGCAGUGUGGCCUAGUGGAAAGAGCUCAGGCAUGGGAGCCGGAGGACCGGGGUUCUAAUCCCCGCUCUGCCA